UGGGAAGUAUUGCACAAUGGCGCAAGCCUGAUGCAGCCAUGCCGCGUGUAUGAAGAAGGCCUUCGGGUUGUAAAGUACUUUCAGCGAGGAGGAAGGCGUUGUGGUUAAUAACCGCAGCGAUUGACGUUACUCGCAGAAGAAGCACCGGCUAACUCCGUGCCAGCAGCCGCGGUAAUACGGAGGGUGCAAGCGUUAAUCGGAAUUACUGGGCGUAAAGCGCACGCAGGCGGCCUGUCAAGUCGGAUGUGAAAUCCCGGCGCACAGCAUGACGAACAUGGCAGGCUAGAGUCUUGUAGA
rnacentral:rRNA from 1 species